rnacentral:misc_RNA from 1 species
AACCUCUCUCUCAUCUCAGUCUCGCAAAUGGCCCUUAAGCUCGCUUCUCACAAGUGAGUUGUCUCAUUUUCGCUUCAAUGUAGGGAAUAAUAGCAAAAGGCAGAUCUCAUUUGUGUAGACAAAGCAAGUAGCAGAUUCUUGCCAAUUGUUCUAUGUUUUUACAUUCUCGUUAUUUUAUCAAUGGGCCAAUCAUACUAUGCUAUUAUUCCUUUUUUUUUUUUUAACGACUUUUUGUUUUGAGUUUGAGGAGUUUAGAUUGUAUAACAUAACUGCCAGAAUCAAUUUAAUUAAAAAUGUUCUCUAGAACUUUUUACGAGCAGAGGAAGGUUCAAAUGGAUUCUGUAAAUCCUAAAUAUGUUCUCCAUAACUAUUUAUGCCACACGGCCAUUGACUCAACCAAACUAGUUGAUUUUGGGGAAGUUAGGAGGUUGCUUAAAUUAAUAGAGCGGCCAUAUGAUGAGCAACCAGGGAUGGAAAAAUAUGCUCGCCUGCCACCAGCUUAGGCUUAUCGGCCAAGAGUCUGUAUGCUUUCUUGUUCUUCAUAAGUUGCGUGCAUGUAUCACAAAUAUCAAAAUAAUAUUUAUUUUUAACUUGUAUAUAAUUGUUGAAUCAAGUUUUCCUGGAGUUCCGACAAUAAAAUGUAAAAUGUGUUUAUCCUUGUUGCUUUAUGUUGUUAUAGUUGGUAGUAGGUGGAAACAUAUUUUUUAUUAAUUUUUUUGUUCUCAUACGGGAUUAUGGUCCUUUUCCUAGUGAAGGGGAAACCUACUCGAGUUUUUCAAACUUAUAGCAAACUUAAGGAUACUGGUUUAUUCAGUUAGUAGCUCAGGGAGUGGGGGAAAUGUAAAAUAUAACCUGUAUGAAUUUUGUUUAUGAUAGUAAUUGAUUCGUGGGAACAAGAAUUACCUGAUGAAAUUUUUUUUUUCAAUUUCCUUCUUAUUUUUCCCUACCUUGCACAUUUUUCCCAUAAGAAGCAGCAGCUGACAGUAUACAUUCAACUUAGCCAGGAUUCUUUAUUUUUAAUUUUAUUUCAAUCUUUAUUUUUAAUUAAAUUUAAUAGUUCCUUUUUAUUUGAUGAAGAUGGGGAGAAGUUU